rnacentral:rRNA from 1 species
UUGUUUAUUAUAUUAUAUUGAUUUUUUGUUAAUUUAGUUAUUUAAUAGAAUUAAUUUUAUUGAUUUUUGUCUAAGUAUAUUUUGUAAAAUUGAUUUUUAAAAUUAUAGUUUAAUAGUAAUGUAAUUGAAUUAUGAAAUAUUAGUUUAAGUUAAUAAAAGUUAAUUUUAUUUAUUGUACCUUUUGUAUCAGGGUUUAUCAAAAUUUUAAUAUUUAUUUAUUUAUCUCGAUUUAGGUUGAUUUACAAUUAACUAAAAGUUAAUGUAUUAUAAUUAUUAUUAAGCUAAUUGUAGAAAUGAAAUGUUAGUCGUUUCCUAAGAUAUCUAGUUUCUUAAGAAAAAAUUUAAUUUUUAAAAGUUUUUGUUUUUAUUUAAUUUUUUAUAUAAAAAUAUUGACUUAUUUAUUCUUUAGGGGAUAAGCUCUAAGGUUAAUAACCUAUAAUUUAUUUAUUUUCAAUUAUAAUAGUAGGCUUUAAGUCAGCCAUCAUAAUGAUUACGUUUUAGUUCAUUAUUUAAAAUAAUGAUUUUAUAGAUAUUUUAGGUAUUUUAUUAAGAUUAAAUAUUAAAUUGAAUAAUUUUUGUAAUAAUGAUGAAAUUAGUAUAUUAAUUUUGUUUAAGUUAAUUAUUAUUAUUAAUUUAUUAUAAGGAAUUAGGCAAUUUUAAUUUCUGCCUGUUUAUCAAAAACAUGUCCUCUUGAUUAUAUUUUGAGGUCUGACCUGCUCACUGAGAAGAAUUUAAAGAGCCGCGGUAUUUUGACCGUGCAAAGGUAGCAUAAUCAUUAGUCUCUUAAUUAGGGGCUGGAAUGAAUGGUUUGACAAGAAAUUAACUGUCUCUUAAUAAAUUUUAAAAUUUAACUUUUAAGUCAAAAGGCUUAAAUUUUGCUUUAGGACAAGAAGACCCUAUAGAGUUUUACAUUUUAUUUUUUUAUAGUCUUUAGUUGAUCUUUUUAUAUUUAAUAGUAAUGUUUUGUUGGGGUGACAUGAAGAAUAAUUAAACUCUUCAUUAUUAAAUCAUUAAUUUAUGUUUAUUAUGAUCCAUAAUUUAUGAUCAUAAGAUUAAAUUACCUUAGGGAUAACAGCGUAAUUAUUUUUGAAAGCUCAUAUUGACAAAGUAGAUUGCGACCUCGAUGUUGGAUUAAGAUAAAUUUUGGGUGUAGGAGCCCAAUAAUUAGGUCUGUUCGACCUUUAAAUUCUUACAUGAUCUGAGUUCAGACCGGCGUGAGCCAGGUCGGUUUUUAUCCUAAGUUAAAAACUUAUAUUAGUACGAAAGGACCAUGUAGGUGAAAGAUUUUUUUUUAGUUGAUUAAAAUUAAUU